ACGAACGCUGGCGGCAGGCCAAACACAUGCAAGUCGAACGCUGUAGCAAUACAGAGUGGCGCACGGGUGAGUAACGCGUAGGAAUCUACCCAUUAGCCUGGGAUAACAGCGGGAAACUGCUGCUAAUACCGGAUACGCCCUUCGGGGGAAAGGUUUACUACUAAUGGAUGAGCCUGCGUUAGAUUAGCUAGUUGGUGAGGUAAUGGCUCACCAAGGCUCCGAUCUAUAGCCGGUCUGAGAGGACGAUCGGCCACACUGGGACUGAGACACGGCCCAGACUCCUACGGGAGGCAGCAGUGGGGAAUAUUGGGCAAUGGACGCAAGUCUGACCCAGCCAUGCCGCGUGUGUGAUGAAGGCCUUAGGGUUGUAAAGCACUUUUAGUAGUGAAGAUGAUGACAGUAGCUACAGAAAAAGCCCCGGCUAACUUCGUGCCAGCCGCCGCAGUAA
rnacentral:rRNA from 1 species